rnacentral:rRNA from 1 species
AGUCGAACGGAAAGGCUCCUUGCUUGCAAGGGGUACUCGAGUGGCGAACGGGUGAGUAACACGUGGGUGAUCUGCCUUGCACUUCGGGAUAAGCCUGGGAAACUGGGUCUAAUACCGGAUAGGACCAUGCUUUAGUGUGUGUGGUGGAAAGUUUUUUCGGUGCAAGAUGAGCCCGCGGCCUAUCAGCUUGUUGGUGGGGUAAUGGCCUACCAAGGCGACGACGGGUAGCCGGCCUGAGAGGGUGUACGGCCACAUUGGGACUGAGACACGGCCCAGACUCCUACGGGAGGCAGCAGUGGGGAAUAUUGCACAAUGGGCGCAAGCCUGAUGCGGCGACGCCGCGUGGGGGAUGACGGCCUUCGGGUUGUAAACUCCUUUCGCUAGGGAAGAAGCCACUGUGUGGUGACGGUACCUGGAUAAGAAGCACCGGCUAACUACGUGCCAGCAGCCGCGGUAAUACGUAGGGUGCGAGCGUUGUCCGGAAUUACUGGGCGUAAAGAGCUCGUAGGUGGUUUGUCGCGUCGUCUGUGAAAUCCCGGGGCUUAACUUCGGGCGUGCAGGCGAUACGGGCAUAACUAGAGUGCUGUAGGGGAGACUGGAAUUCCUGGUGUAGCGGUGAAAUGCGCAGAUCUCAGGAGGACACCGAUGGCGAAGGCAGGUCUCUGGGCAGUUACUGACGCUGAGGAGCGAAA